CCUUGACCUCAUUUUCAUGGUUCAGUGGUCAAAGUUAAGUUUUUGAGUUUUGGUCUUUUUUUCUAAUACUAUAUGCAAUAGUUCAACUAUAUUUGGUAUGUGCGUACCUUGCAAGGUCCUCAUGCCCGUCAGACAGUUUUCACUUGACCUCGACCUCAUUUUAUGGAUCAGUGAACAAGGUUAAGUUUUGGUGGUCAAGUCCAUAUCUCAGAUACUAUAAGCAAUAGGUCUUGUAUAUUCGGUGUAUGGAAGGACUGUAAGGUGUACAUGUCCAACUGGCAGGUGUCAUCUGACCUUGACCUCAUUUUCAUGGUUCAGUGGUUAUAGUUAAGUUUUUGUGUUUUGGUCUGUUUUUCUUAUACUGUAUGCCAUAGGUCUACUAUAUUUGGUGUAUGGAAUGAUUGUAAGGUGUACAUGUCUAGCGGGCAGUUGUCAUCUGACCUUGACCUUAUUUUCAUGGUUCAGUGGUCAAAGUUAAGUUUUUGAGUUUUGGUCUUUUUUUCUAAUACUAUGUGCAAUAGUUCAACUAUAUUUGGUAUGUGCGUACCUUGCAAGGUCCUCAUGCCCGUCAGACAGUUUUCACUUGACCUCGACCUCAUUUCAUGGAUCAAUGAACAAGGUUAAGUUUUGGUGGUCAAGUCCAUAUCUCAGAUACUAUAAGCAAUAGGUCAACUCUAUUUGUUGUAUGGAAGAAUUGUUAGCUGUACAUGCCUGCCUAGCAUGGUUCAUCUGACCUUGACCUCAUUUUCAUGGUUCAUUGGUCAAUGUUUAGUUUACUUGGUUAAUGUUAAGUUUAUGUGACAGUUGUAAUAAAGCUUUAUAUUUAGGACUAUCAACAUAAUAUCAAUGAUUAGUAAAGAAGGCGAGACAUUUCAGCGUGUGCACUCUUGUUCUUAACC